rnacentral:rRNA from 1 species
AGGGUUUGAUUAUGGCUCAGAUUGAACGCUGGCGGCAGGCCUAACACAUGCAAGUCGAGCGGUAGAGAGGUGCUUGCACCUCUUGAGAGCGGCGGACGGGUGAGUAAUGCCUAGGAAUCUGCCUGGUAGUGGGGGAUAACGCUCGGAAACGGACGCUAAUACCGCAUACGUCCUACGGGAGAAAGCAGGGGACCUUCGGGCCUUGCGCUAUCAGAUGAGCCUAGGUCGGAUUAGCUAGUUGGUGGGGUAAUGGCUCACCAAGGCGACGAUCCGUAACUGGUCUGAGAGGAUGAUCAGUCACACUGGAACUGAGACACGGUCCAGACUCCUACGGGAGGCAGCAGUGGGGAAUAUUGGACAAUGGGCGAAAGCCUGAUCCAGCCAUGCCGCGUGUGUGAAGAAGGUCUUCGGAUUGUAAAGCACUUUAAGUUGGGAGGAAGGGCAUUAACCUAAUACGUUAGUGUUUUGACGUUACCGACAGAAUAAGCACCGGCUAACUCUGUGCCAGCAGCCGCGGUAAUACAGAGGGUGCAAGCGUUAAUCGGAAUUACUGGGCGUAAAGCGCGCGUAGGUGGUUCGUUAAGUUGGAUGUGAAAUCCCCGGGCUCAACCUGGGAACUGCAUUCAAAACUGUCGAGCUAGAGUAUGGUAGAGGGUGGUGGAAUUUCCUGUGUAGCGGUGAAAUGCGUAGAUAUAGGAAGGAACACCAGUGGCGAAGGCGACCACCUGGACUGAUACUGACACUGAGGUGCGAAAGCGUGGGGGAGCAAACAGGAUUAGAUACCCUGGUAGUCCACGCCGUGAACGAUGUCAACUAGCCGUUGGGAGCCUUGAGCUCUUAGUGGCGCAGCUAACGCAUUAAGUUGACCGCCUGGGGAGUACGGCCGCAAGGUUAAAACUCAAAUGAAUUGACGGGGGCCCGCACAAGCGGUGGAGCAUGUGGUUUAAUUCG